UACGGAGGAUGCAAGCGUUAUCCGGAUUUAUUGGGUGUAAAGGGUGCGUAGAUGGGAAAUUAAGUUAGUAGUGAAAUCCCCAUGCUCAACAUGGGAACUGCUACUAAAACUGAUUUUCUUGAGUGCUGGAGAGGAAAGAGGAAUUCCUAGUGUAGCGGUAAAAUGCGUAGAUAUUAGGAAGAAUACCGGUGGCGAAGGCGUCUUUCUGGACAGUAACUGACAUUGAGGCACGAAAGUGUGGGGAGCAAAC
rnacentral:rRNA from 1 species